rnacentral:rRNA from 1 species
GAUGAACGCUGGCGGCGUGCCUAAUACAUGCAAGUAGAACGCUGAAGCUUGGUGCUUGCACCGAGCGGAUGAGUUGCGAACGGGUGAGUAACGCGUAGGUAACCUGCCUCUUAGCGGGGGAUAACUAUUGGAAACGAUAGCUAAUACCGCAUAAAAGUCGAUAUCGCAUGAUAUUGAUUUGAAAGGUGCAAUUGCAUCACUAAGAGAUGGACCUGCGUUGUAUUAGCUAGUUGGUGAGGUAACGGCUCACCAAGGCGACGAUACAUAGCCGACCUGAGAGGGUGAUCGGCCACACUGGGACUGAGACACGGCCCAGACUCCUACGGGAGGCAGCAGUAGGGAAUCUUCGGCAAUGGGGGCAACCCUGACCGAGCAACGCCGCGUGAGUGAAGAAGGUUUUCGGAUCGUAAAGCUCUGUUGUAAGAGAAGAACGAGUGUGAGAGUGGAAAGUUCACACUGUGACGGAACUACCAGA